rnacentral:rRNA from 1 species
UACGUAGGGCGCAAGCGUUGUCCGGAAUUAUUGGGCGUAAAGAGCUCGUAGGCGGCCUGUUGCGUCUGCUGUGAAAUCCCGGGGCUUAACCCCGGGCGUGCAGUGGAUACGGGCAGGCUGGAGGCAGGCAGGGGAGAACGGAAUUCCCGGUGUAGCGGUGAAAUGCGUAGAUAUCGUAAGGAAGACCAGUGGCGAAGGCGGGUCUCUGGACAGUUCCUGACGCUGAGGCACGAAGGCCAGGGGAGCAAACGGG